GACGAACGCUGGCGGCGCGCCUAAUACAUGCAAGUCGAACGGCCAUCCUUCGGGAUGGCAGUGGCGGACGGGUGAGUAACACGUGGGUGACCUGCCCUGUAGUGGGGAAUAACUCUUGGAAACAGGAGCUAAUACCGCAUAUGCUCCAAGUUUCAUUAUUUGGAGUAAAGAUUAAUCGCUACAGGAGGGGCCUGCGGCGGAUUAGCUAGUCGGUGGGGUAAUGGCCUACCGAGGCAACGAUCCGUAGCUGGUCUGAGAGGACGACCAGCCACACUAGGACUGAGACACGGCCCAGACUCUACGGGAGGCAGCAGUAAGGAAUAUUCCACAAUGGACGCAAGUCUGAUGGAGCGACGCCGCGUGAGCGAAGAAG
rnacentral:rRNA from 1 species